UACGACCUUACUUGAACAGGAUCUGUUCUAUAGGAUCGUACUACUAUUGUCUUUAGUAAUAAAGAGAUUAGUCAAUAAAUCUGGUGGAUGAUAAAUAACCUCAUAAUCAGAGCGUGAUUAACGGAUAUAGUGGUUUAUCGUUAAAUCUGUAGAUGAUCGUUCUCAGAUCGGUUUCACCUUUAUGAGAUGGUUGUGAGGUUUACUGACAGACUAAAUCUUUUCCUUUUUUCUCUGGAUUCAUUUUUAUUUUCAAAAUUAACCCCUACAGGCUAAUUGUAAUGUAAGGUAAUAAGGGUGUUCUGGGAAUGAAAUUGGUCGGUGACAUUGAUCUCCAAGCUACAGAGAACAGAGGUUUCCCGAUGAUUGUUUAAAGCAGACAGACAGAUUCUAGCACCACAUACUCCUUCAGUUCCUGAAGAUCAUAUGAUUUGUCAAUUCGGAUGCAGACUCAUCGCUAUUCGGAUACUAAUAUACGUCGAUGAUUUUGUCAUUAUUGAGAACAAUUCCAUAGAACUCGACAACAUCGUUAAAUCUACCGAUUAUAUAAACUGUAUUUAGUUAACUAAUCACAGAUUUUGAGAACAUAAUGAUUAAUUUCAUUUAAUUGUCCUUUUCUAUUAGUAUGAGUCAUAUUUGAUAAUUAAUAGGUGCAAAUCUGUUAAAUUGACGUGAUAUUAAAAUAGCUGAAUAGGGACGUUCAGAUAAAUUUUCUUUGUUUUCGAAUUUUUUCAUAGUCCCAUACCAAUGAAAUGUUAAAAAAAAGUAAAAUAUAUAGUGUUUAACCAUUAUGAGAUAGUCUUGGGGUUCUCUGACAGUCUAUUUUUUUAUCAAAUUGAGCUGGAGCUACAAUUUUCUUAGGACCUAGUCAUCACAACAAUUGAGUUAAGAUUGUUUUGUUGGCUUGCCGAUCUACGUGAGGGUCCUGCUCCCAUGUGAUUUUGGAAAAAAAAUACCUUUAGGGUUUUAUUUGUAUAGUUAAAAUUGAAAAUAUUUUAGGAUAUAACAGUAUAUAAGUAGAGGCGAGAAUGGGCCGGGAGAUUUAAGUUAAUAUAGAAAUAAUUAAAUACUUAUUUUGAUUAUUAAAUAUUUUGAAAUCAUUAAACCUAAUCCGAUCGUUUUAUCAUAAUCCGUCGACUGACGAUGAAUUAUUCAUCAACGAUGUACUUGUAUUGACGUUUUUGACGCAUGUGCACUUUGACGCACGUCCUAUUUUUUUUAUAUACUUUACUUAAAUUUUUACCCACGAUAUAAAUUUUUAGAUCGAUUUUUUUUGGGUCAUAGAAAAAUAAAUAGUUGGUUUAAUUUUUUUCUAUUAAGGAGUGGUGGAGAAGAAAUAAGGAGUCGUAGUAACAUUAGAUCAAGGGUGAAAACUGAAAAGGACUGUUUUAAAUUAGAAAUUUGUUACAACAAAUACAUAUAAAUUUCCCUCAAACUUUAUUCGUUAGAUUGACAAGAUUUGAAGAGAAAGUUUUGCCGUCAAGGUUUCCGAAACCAUUCGUUUUCUGUUCUGUUCUGUUCUUCCGUUAAACCCUUUCCUCCUCUCGCAAAAUCCCGGCCGUCUACGAUCUACUCCGUUGAUCUAGGGUUUCUCGAAGAAGAUCGAAAACAUUGCACUUUGGUGAUGAUGAAUCCAAAUCGUUUCUACAUGUCUCAACACCAACAACCGUCGUCGUCAAUGUACUCCACGUCACAGCAGCGCCAGUACUUCGGAGAAAACCAUCGCCCCCAACCUCCGUCUUCCCGUCCGAAUGGUCCGUUAUUCGCUGUAGCACUUGAGUUUCAGGAUAAAAAGGUUCCUACUUUAAGAGACUUAGAGAAAUUGAUUGUAACUUGUCCUGUAAAACCGGAGCAGAUGAUUGUGAAGCCUGGUGAGACUAAAGGGUUGAUUUUAUAUAAUGAAUGGCAUACGACUCUUGAUGCUUUUAUCUACUUCUGGCGUCGACGACUGUUUGGUACUUCUUCUUCAAUGUAUUCUCGUCCUGUUCCCCAAAUUCUCUUUAAUUGUACCAUUCCUUCUCCCCCGUCUAAUAAGGAAGAAAAGGAGUCUAGAAUGAGGAACCUGUUUAAGGAAUAUGCGCAGAGAAUUCUUUGUGGGAGUUCUGUUAAGAAUAUCGAGAAAAGGAUCAAUGAGUUAUUUAAUAAGAUCGAGGAGACUGCAAAGUCGUUAAAGAAUCCCAACUCUAUCAUGUUUUUCUUUGAAUUAGAAUCGAAGCAUAAGGCGCUUGUAUUGGAAAAGAAACUUCUGACUGAUCUUUUGACUGAGUUUAAGACAGAGAUUGGGAUCUUGGUUCAGAUUUUUGAGAGGAAGAGUUUUCUGGGUCAUUCCAGUCUUCGAUUUUUUCACUUGGAGAAUUCUUUGAAUUGGAUGAAAUUGCAGAUGAUGAUGGAAAGAGAAUGCAGAAGGUUGGAAAAUGGUUUGCCGAUGUAUGUUUCCAGAAAAAAGAUCCUCAGCACUCUGUAUUCCAAUCAGGUUCGGAAGAGAUAAAAAAUACAUUGUUCUGUUUUUUUUUUCAAUAACUAAUCAAACCCAUUUAUGUGCUGUGCUUAUAUUUUGUCUGCUGUCUGAGGUCUCUUAAUGUUUUUAUUUAUUUGUUUUGUCUGAUGUCACUGCUUGUUCAUGAUACUUGGAAUUUAAUUAAUUAUAAUAAUUCCUUUUGCAAUCAUUUUUAUUAUCUAUCUUACUGUUUGUUUGUACAGGUAACGAUCUUGAUUGGAGAAACUGGUUCCGGCAAGAGUACACAGUUGGUACAAUAUAUUGCUGACUCUCAACUGGCUGGUGAUGGAUGUGUUGUCUGCACCCAACCUCGAAAAAUUGCUUCUAUUUCAUUAGCUCAGAGAGUGAAAGAAGAAACCUAUGGUUGCUACGAGGAAAACUCUGUAUCUUCAUACUCUACAUAUUCGUCUUCUCAGAAAUUUAAUUCUAAGAUAAUAUUCAUGACUGAUUAUUGUCUUCUACAACAUAGCGUGGAUGAUGAGAUAUUUAAUACUAUCUCUUGUAUUGUCGUGGAUGAAGCUCACGAGAGAAGCUUGAACACUGAUCUUCUAUUGGCAUUGAUUAGGAGAAAAAUUUUACAAAGAAAGGACUUGAGGCUUAUUAUAAUGUCUGCCACAGCUGAUGCAGAAAAAAUCUCUGAGUAUUUUUUCGGCUGUCAAACAAUUCAUGUGACUGGGAGAAACUUUCCUGUCGAGAUAAAAUAUAUACCUGAUAUUUCUAGUGAGGUUCCUUGGAUCAAUCAUACCAAGCAUAUCCCUAUGAAUGCAGCCUCUUAUGUUUCAGAUGUUGUUAAGAUGGUCAGUGUUAUUCACAAAACCAAGGAAAAUGGAGCAAUUCUUGCAUUUUUCACCUCACAGGCAGAAGUGGAAUGGGCAUGUGACAAUUUUCAUAACCCUGAAGCCAUGGUACUUCCAUUGUAUGGGAAACUUUCUCAUGCAGAUCAACGCCGUAUCUUUCAAAAUUAUGCUGGGAAAAGGAAGAUAAUUUUUUCAACAAAUAUAGCUGAGACAUCUCUUACAAUUCCAGGUGUAAAGUUUGUGGUUGACUCUGGCAUGGUAAAAGAGAGUCGAUUUGAACCAAGUAAUGGUAUGAAUGUACUCAGGGUCUGCAGGGUGAGCAAGAGUUCUGCUCAGCAGAGAGCAGGUCGAGCUGGACGGAAUGAAGCUGGGAAAUGUUAUAGAUUAUAUUCAGAAUCUGAUUUUGAAUUAAUGAUAUCAUAUCAGGAGCCCGAAAUUCUAAAGGUUCACAUGGGAAUUUCUGUAUUAAAGAUCCUUUCAUUGGGCAUUAAAAAUCUCAAUGACUUUGAGUUAAUUGAUACACCUGGUUUGAAAUCCAUUGAUGUUGCUAUUCAGAAUCUAGUCAGGUUAGGAGCUAUUUCCUGCAAAGCUGGUGUACUUGAAUUGACUGUCACGGGUCGAAGGAUGGUAAAGUUGGGAAUUGAACCCAGACUUGGAAAGAUUAUCCUUGAAUGCCAAAGGCAUAAUUUAAUCAAAGAAGGUAUUGUCCUUGCCGCUGUCAUGGCAAAUUCCAGCAGCAUAUUCUGCAGGGUAGGCAGCAAUGAAGAUAAACUAAAAGCUGAUUGUCUUAGGAUACCAUUCUGUCAUCCUGAUGGCGAUCUCUUCACUCUGCUCUCGGUGUACAAGGAGUGGGAUCGUGAAGAAAAUAACAGAAACCAGUGGUGCUGGCAAAAUAGCGUAAAUGCUAAGUCAUUGAGAAGAUGUAAGGAGACUGUAAAGGAUAUUGAAUGUUGCCUUCGUCAUGAACUGAACAUAAUUGUUCCAUCCUUCUGGAAGUGGAGUCCAGAUGAACAUAAUCUGAGCAAGUUGUUGAAAAAUGCCAUACUCUCUUCACUAGCUGAAAAUGUAGCCAUCUACUCAGGUUUUGACCGACUUGGUUAUAAGAUACUACAGACAGGUGAGCAUGUAAAGCCACAUCCUUCAUCGUCUUUACAUAUUUAUGCCCAGAAGCCAAGUUGGGUUGUAUUUGGUGAUAUUCUAUCGACCACCAGUGAGUAUCUAGUAUGUGUAACUGCGAUAACGAGGGACGACCUACCAAGACUCCAACCUCCCCCUUCAUAUGAUAUUUCAAAGAUGGAAGAUCAGAUUAUGCAAACUACAAUUAUCGAUGGAAUUGGUACUCAUCUUCUUAAAAGACUGUGUGGCAAAGGAAACCAGAAUUUGUUACUUAUCGUUUCUCGUGUUAGAGACCUUUGCAAGGAUGACCGUGCUGAUAUUACUAUUAACUUUGAUAAAGGCGAAAUUUAUUUAUAUACUUCAUCAAAGGAUGCUGACAUUUCUUCUUCCCUUAUAAAUGAUGCGGUGAAUGAUGAAAUGAAAUGGCUACAAAAUGAGUGUGCAGAAAAAUAUUUGUUUCGUGGUAGUAGUAGAUCUAAUGCUUUCCCUUCUGUAGCUCUUUUGGGAGCUGGUGCUGAAAUUAAGUACCUUGAGCUUGAGAAGAAAUUUCUAACUGUGGAAAUAACCCAUCCACAUACAGAAAAAAUAGAUGAUAAGGAAUUACUUUUGUUGAUUGAUCAGACUGUCUCCCGUGUAUCUGGUUUCUGUAAGCAUACAUGCAUUGGAUUGAAUGAUACAUGUUCAAAUAUAUGGGGUAAAAUAACAUUUCUCAGUCCUGAAGCUUCUGAAGAAGCUGUAAGAAAACUUAAUGGCAUAGAGUUUUAUGGUGCGUUGCUAGGAGUAAGUCCUGCAACAUCAUUCGAUGGAGAUAAUAAACUUUUCCCCUUUCAAGCUGUAAGAGUGAAACUGUCUUGGCCACGAAGGUGCAGUAAGGGGAUUGCAUUUAUCAGAUGUAUACUCGAAGAUAUUGAUUUAAUUUUUGAAGAUUUAUAUAAUAAUCUUCUGAUUGGAGGAGUGUGUGUAACUUGCGAGAUUAGCACAAAGGCGGGAGGGGAUUGUAUUGUUGUGAAAGGUUUUGAUAAAGAUAUCUCAGAGCAAGAAAUCUCUAAGUCAGUAAGAAAAGCCACAAAUAGGAACAUUAUUGGUUUGUGGCUUGUGCGAGGGAACGCUGUUGAUAACCUAUCGCUCCAUGCUUAUGAGGAAGCAAUUCUAAGAGAAAUAACCCCUUUCAUGUUUAGCAGACAGAAACCAAGUGUAAACUGCAGGGUUGAAGUUUUCAAUCCUAAUCCAAAAGACAUUAUGAUGAAGGCUGUAAUCACAUUUGAUGGAAGUUAUCAUUUUGAAGCAGCUAAAGCUUUGGAUCAUCUUCAAGGAAGAGUUCUCUCUGGUUUCGAAAAUUGGCAGAUGAUAGAAUGUCACCAUUUGUUCCAAAGCUCCGUAUACUGCCCUCGUUACAUUUAUUUGGUUAUUAAGAAUGAUCUGGAGCGUGUUUUGGAAAAAUUGGGAUCUAUCAAAGGUAUUGCCUUUUAAUGUAAAGUAGCAAUCUUAAUUUUAUAUUUUGAAAUCACAUACUUUUUACUUGUUAGGCUCAUUUUUUUCUCAGUCCCACGGUAUGCAUUUUUCUAUUACUUUGAUGGGAAGUAUCUAUUUUGAUAUUAAAGAGGUCUAUGGUGAAAUUUAGGGUUCAAGGAUGAAACACAAUAAAACACUUUUAAUUUCUUUUUUGACCGAUUACUAUUUAUUAAUGUCCUUUGUCUCUGAUUAGUUUAUUUAUUGUAUUUAGGUUAAUUUUAUUCGAAAAUUGAUAAUAUAUAUACAUACAUAUUAAUAUGUAUUUGGUCUGAUAUAUGUUUAUAAAUGAUUCCUUUUGAUGGAUAAUUAGAGUAUGUUCUGACAUGAUCAUAUAAUUUGAUUCAGGUGGUUAUUAUAAGAAGGAAAUACUAGAGAAUGGUUCCCAUCGGAUAAAGCUUUUUGCCAAUGCAACAAGAACAAUGGUAUAUAUGAGGAAACCACUAGAUGUUUUGGUGAAAGGAAAUAUCGUAAGUCACUGUAGUUUGACAUUCACUGUCCGGGAUAUGCUACUGUCAAGGGAUGGUUUUCUUCUCAUAAAGUCUGUAGAACGGGAGACUGGAACAUGUAUCAUUUACGACAGACACUCCAAACUGUUGAAAGUAUUUGGUUCUCAAACAAAUGUCAAUCUUUCAGAGAAGAAGCUUGUCCAGUCUCUUUUGACCCUUCAUGAAAGUAAACAACUUGAUAUCCAUCUUCGUGGUCGUCAUCUGCCACCAAAUUUGAUGAAAGAAAUUGUUAUUAGAUUUGGGCCUGAUCUUAAUGCACUGAAGGAGAGGGUAGAUGGAGUUGAUCUUGUUCUAAAUACCCGUGACCAUAGAAUAUGUAUUAAAGGAACGAAAGAGAUGAAGCAGAAAGUUGAUGAAAUAGUAUCUGAUGUGGUGAAAUAUCUUGUAAAUGGUGAAUGUCAACAACCACUUGAGAAACCAUCUGAAGAAACAUCAUGUGGUAUUUGCCUAUGUGAACUAGAGGAGCCGUACAAGCUCGAAGCAUGCAAACACAGAUUUUGCCACUCAUGCUUGCUAGAACAAUGUGAAUCGGCAAUCAGAUCCCAUGAUGGAUUCCCACUAUGCUGUGCUCAUGAAGGAUGCAAAACUCCCAUUUUCAUUGUGGAUCUUCGGACGCUAUUGCCUGCCAAUAAGUUUGAAGAACUUUUCCGGGCAUCUUUGAGUUUUUUUGUGACUUCAAAUUCCGGAAACUACCGAUUUUGCCCAUCCCCUGACUGUCCAAUGGUGUACAAGGUCACAACAGAACCAGAUAUUCUUGAAUCAGUACCUUUUCUUUGUGAAGCUUGUUUGGUGGAGACUUGCAGCAAGUGUCAUCUAGAGUACCAUCCUUUCAUCACAUGUGAGUUAUACAAAGAGUACAAGGAGGAGCCAGACUUGUCUCUGAUAGAUUGGAUGAAAGGGAAGGAGGAGCAUGUUAAGAAAUGCCCUUCUUGUAAUUUCACCAUAGAGAAAAUCGAUGGGUGUAACCACAUCUCGUGUAAAUGUGGGAAACAUAUCUGCUGGGUGUGUUUGGAAAGCUUUGGUUUGAGUGAAGAAUGCUAUGACCAUUUGAGAAGCAUACAUGAAAAUGUAACAUAAGGUUUGCACAUCCAUCCAUCAUGUAUAAUUUGCCUUAACUUUUACAUCAGUUUGUUAGUUAGUUUAGUGGUAUUUUCUUGAUUCCUUUUGCAACUGAUGUUUUUUUAAUCUUUUAUCGUUUUAUCUUCUUGCAGACGCGUCAGGCGUGUUAAUAAUAAGCUGAUAGCGAUAAUCAACAAUUCAAUAAAACCAUUUUAUAAAAAGGUGUGUUAGUAGAAAAAUAGUAUAGUAUUUCCCUAAACUGCUGCUUAAUAUUUUAAUCUAAAAUGUUUUUUUUUAAUCUUUUAUCGUUUUAUCUUCUUGCAGGCGUGUUAAUAAUAAGCUGAUAGUGAUAAUCAACAACUCAAUAAAAACCAUUGUAUAAAAAGGGUGUGUUAGUAGAAAAAUAGUAUAGUAUUUCCCUAAACUGCUGCUUAAUAUUUGAAUCUAAUAGUGUAUUUGUGUUAGCAGGUUUUUUUAUUUAUUCGAUUUAUUAUUGCAUUACUGAAGUAGUAACAAAGGAGAGAAAAACAUACUGAAAAAAUCAUCCAAUCAAUCCAAACUCCAAAGAGGAUUAAAGGUCAAGGAAUAUUAGAAUGAUGUAGCUGUUGAAUGUUCUUUAUUGCUCCAUCAUAAUUGACAAACCCAAGAAACCAAAACUCAUGGGUAUCGACAGAGACCACUUGUAUGUACUUCUCCACUGGCUUCCCUUCACUCACUGAAGGAUUAACACUUCUCAGUUGAUUUAUUGGUAUCACAACCUGUAAUUUUAUUAAAAUAAGUUCCAUUUGUUAGCUGCUGUUUCUCUUUUAAUCUUAUCUUUGGUCUUUACUGUAGUUUAUAUAGCAAGUAUUGUAAUGCACUAUUUUUUUUUAAAUAUAAGAAAGCCAACUUACUUUAUAGUAGCUAUAAGCAGUUGUUUCAUUAUCCCCAUUUUUAUACGACAGAGGGUUGUCACUGCAAAAUCCAAGUUUUGCAGUUGAUAGGUAUAGAACACCCAUAACUGGUCCAGCAGAAGUUGACAAGUAACAAGCAAAAGUCUUCUUCAGAAUCUCAUCAGGGCUUGUUUCAAAGGUAGACUUGAAGAUCUUCUCAUACCCACCUUCUGCUAUCACCUUGCUCGUCUGUGCUAUUCUUCCCAUUGCAGCAUCUGCGAAACUCGGCCCUGUUCUCACUUUCCAAUACAACGCCAUCAAAAAAAAAAAAAAAAAAAUCAGAUUUUACCCAGAAAAUAAUAAACCAGAGGAGAAGGAAGAAGAGACUCACGGUGUUGCCAAGUGUUACCAGCGAGAUCCUCGGUCUUUUUAGCGGUUUCACCAACUCUUUUUCCCCAUCUACGAAGCACACUCUUUACCCUAUCCACUGCCAAUUAUCCAACCGAAACCCUAAUCACUCAAAAUUAUUCAAACAAAUCUCAAAAAUCUCAAAAAAAUCUCACAUUUUGCCCCCGCCGAUUGCGGUGGAGAAGUACGCGUCACAUACGGAUUGCUCCUCUCCUCCUCCUCCUCUACCAGCACGGUUCCUACCUUUGCAGGAAGGGGAGACGACUUCGAUUCAUCAAUCAGAACCUCGUUCCAUCUCACGCUCUUCUUUUGCACUUGUUCCUCUGUCUCCGUCAACGGUGUCUGAUGUUCCGAAGGCGGUGGAGGAACGACGACUCGGUCUUUGUCACCUUCCGAUGAGGCAACGGCCGGUAGAUCCGGCAAGGUCUUUCUCUCUCUUUCCGGUGAAAGUGGCACCUGUUCCAUUUGAUCCAUUUCCCGAAGCUCUGACGUUUCCAAUUGUUGCAGAGUCUUUGACUGUCCGACUGCUCGGAUCUGUCCGAUCUUUAAAAAUCCAUCAAUAUUAGUCAACUCAAAUCAUUGGCCGUUAGAUUCAGAUACAACCAAAACAAUAAUAAAAAAAUACAAAUUAUUAUUUAUUAAUUUAAGAUUUUAUUAUUUAAGAACUAAAUGAAAAAUGAGAUCGUAGUUAUUGAAUGAAUAUACAAGAUCUUUGAUAUAUGGGUUAAAAUGGUCAGGAUGCUAAUGACGUAUUUUGGCAUACCGAAUAAGAUCGAGGUUUUCUAAAGUUUUCAUUUGAAAUUGGCCCAGAAUUUACUAUCCAUUUUUGUAUAAAAACACAAAAUUGAUUAAAUCGUAAAUAUGAUUUUUCUUGUUUAAAAAAUUAAAUAUUACAAUCUUCAAAAUAUAAAAAUUAGUAAAUUACCAUAAAGAGUUAAAGACUACAUUUUUUUUUACUAACUUUUGAGUAGCUUUCUCUUUAGUUGUUGGUUGUUAUUUUUAAAGUUAUUAUUUUUCUACUAAUAAAAAUGUAUACUUCUCAUUAAGGUCAAUUUAAGGUAAGAUCUUAUUAUUUUAGAACUGGUAAAACUUUAAUCAUAAUUCUCACCUUCAUAUACAACAUCAUUCAUUACUCAAGAAUCAAGAUACAUACCAUAUUUAAUAUUAAAUGAUUUUUUUUCAUAAGUUACUUAAUCAUAAAUUAAUUUUUUUUUUACAAAGAUAAAGUUAAAAUAAAAAACAUGAGUUUGAAACCAAAUAACAGUAAGGUAUUAUGAUAGAUUUAAAACCAACUUUGAUUAGUCGAGGUUUCCUCCGUUUCUUUCAGAUUCUUCCAUGUUUAGCAUAACAAAAACAUUCCAGUGUUUAUAAGUUAUUGUCUCAUUCCUGCAUUUGUAUGAUUUCUUUUAAUAGUGUUCAUCUUUGAAUCCCCAUUCUGUAGUACAGAUGAUCUGUUUCAUAAUCAUAUCUUCACUCAGAUGAAUGUCAGUAGCUUUUCUUGUAUUGCGCUCCUUUCAUAUGCUCCAACUAGCUACUGAUAGAAGUGUCCAAUGAAUUCCCUAGAUAGGAGAGUUGAUUUUUAAUUUAUCAAUUUUAAAACUCAUAAAACUGAAGUCGAUACAGCUGUUUUGUUGAAUUAAUCCUCCCAAAGUCAGUAGACAGUUUCCGAUUAUAUUCCUGGUGUAGCAUCAUGAGUAGAAAAUAUGAUUGAUUGAUUCAGUUUCUCUUCUACAAAUGUAGCAUAUCCCGUUCGACUGUAGUCCCUCUAAUUAUGAGUCUAUCAAGUGUUGACAAUUUCCUAUACCUCAUCCGCCAAAGAAAAUUUUCAACCUUAGGGAUCUUAGAAACCCAUAUACCCCGUGAUAAAGAAUCUCAUUGGUCUAUCGAUCUAAUUGUUUCAUGAAUAUUCCCCGUGUAGACUCCGUGUAAAUGAUUUUAUUGUUAGAUGAAUAUUGUAAGAUCACAUGUAAAUUUUUAUUUAGUUCUUAAAUAGUGAGAUCAAUUUUGAUUUUUCAAUAUUAAUGGGCUUAUACUCUCUUAUAUUAUUAUUGGGCUUUGGAAAAUGAAGUCCAACUCCAAAUAGGCACAAUUGGUCCAACAAUCACAAGAGUUAUAUACAAGUAGUAUACUGUCUUUCAGCUCGCUCUGACUUUUCUCUGCUAACGGUUUGUCGUCACCGAUUUAGCUUUUUCCCUCCACGGAUCUAACCAACCCUAAUUCUCAUCUCGGCGGUCACUUCUACUCGUCGCCUGCAAAAAUGUCAUCCAUGAUGGUAAGUGAACACUCUAUAUUUCAUCAUCGCUACUGCAGUUGCUCACGAUCGUACUAAAGAUGUCUUUUUUUUUUGGAGUGCAGCAACCGCAGAUCAUACUCCUCAAGGAAGGAACGGAUACAUCGCAGGGCAAAGCACAUGUGAUCGGAAACAUCAACGCAUGUACAAUCGUUGCAGAUACUGUUCGGACGACGCUCGGGCCAAGGGGAAUGGAUAAACUCAUCCAUGAUGAUAAAGGGAAUACGACUAUUUCCAAUGAUGGAGCGACUAUCAUGAAGCUGUUGGAUAUUGUACAUCCAGCUGCGAAGAUUCUUGUUGAUAUUGCCAAAUCUCAAGACUCUGAGGUAUGUAUUCUGUCCAUCACUGUAUUGCUACUAUAUUGGUCUGUAUUUAUUAAUGUUGUGGGUUCAAAUUGAUAUUUUUACAGUUUUUGUCUGAUUUUCACUAGUUAAUGAAUGCAAUUUAUUUCCAUUUCUUUGAGAUCUUUGAGUUUCUGCUCCUUAUAAUUAAUACCACAGUUUCACUACCUUUCUCUGCUGUCAGUAUUAUGAUGUGUUUUAAAGUAGAUGGUUUGUGACUAAUAAUCUCAAUGUUAAAAAUGAAUUGACAGGUUGGUGAUGGAACGACUACAGUAGUGCUUUUUGCAGGUGAGUUUUUAAAGGAAGCAAAGCCAUUCAUUGAGGAUGGUGUGCAUCCUCAGAAUCUCAUACGCAGUUUCAGAAACGCAUCGACGCUGGUUUUCUUCUUGAUUUCUUUAUCAAAAAGAUUCACUAAAUUUUAUUCUCUGAUUUCUGAAAAUCUCUGUUUUAGAUCAUAAUUUUAUAAUUUCGUUUUAGGCUAUUAGAAAAAUUAAAGAACUUUCUGUGAGUAUCGAAGGCAAAAGUCUCGAAGAAAAGAAAGCUUUGUUGGCUAAAUGUGCUUCUACAACACUGUCCUCGAAGCUUAUUGGUGGCGAAAAAGAGUUUUUUGCAUCUAUGGUUGUUGAUUCUGUCGUCGCUAUUGGAAAUGAUGAUAGAUUAAAUUUGAUCGGUAUUAAAAAGGUGAGGGUGCUGUUUUUUUUGCAAUUGCCAAAUAAUUGAUAAUUCAGUGUCCAUGGUCCAGGGAAGAUAAAUAUGCACUUAUGUCUUGAAGAAAGUGGAAUAACAUGCUUUGAGAUUUAGUGUUUUUUAAAAUAAUGUGUUGUUAUUAAAUUUUUUUGUAACCAGAUAAUUUUUCUACUAAUUUGAAAGGAGAAUUUACAUAAUAGUUGAGGAUAAUUUUUUCCCAUAUUAUUUGCUUUUCUUCAUAUGGAUAACAUGCUACAUUGGACUUUGCUUCUCUGCUUAAUUCAAUGUGUUUUAUUUUGAUUGGUUUGUAGAUUUAGUUUCCAAUUUUAAUAUUUGGCAUUUAUAGAUUGUUUAAUAUACUUGAAUGUUAACAUUUCAAUUAUGGUUCUAAAUGCGCAUGCAAAAGCUACCUGGAGGCAUUUUUCAAGGCGCUUCCAGAUUUUGGGUCUUAGUCGCAUCUGGGUCCGAUCCACUUAAAUAUUUUAGGGUUCCAAACCCAAAAACUUUAAACCUCCCUUAAUCAGAUUAUUUUGUAGUAUUUAAGUACAUGAAGGAUGUUUAAACCUUGAAUAUUUAAGUAUUUUGUAUUAGUAUUAUAAAUAUAUGAAAUUUAAGUAUUUAAGAAUAUCUGAAUUAAGUAUUUACCAAAAUACCCUUGGUGUCUGAGGUGUGCCUAAACGGCAGUCCGUUAGGUCCUGGCGCGCAGUGCAAUCGCACAUUUAAAAAAGCUUGAUUUCAAUUACUACACAUAAUUGCACAUUGCAGUUCAUGAGAAAUCUUUUAUACUAAAUCAUUUGUCUUCAUUGUAGGUUCCUGGUGGUCACAUGCGUGAUUCGUUUAUUGUGCAUGGUGUUGCCUUUAAAAAAUCAUUCUCUUAUGCUGGUUUUGAGCAACAGCCAAAGAUGUUUCAGAAUCCAAAAGUCCUUUUAUUGAACAUUGAGUUAGAACUGAAAUCAGAAAAGGAAAAUGCGGAAAUCAGGUGAGAUUUUUUCAAUGUUUUUUCUAUAGAGAUUAUAAUACUAUGAUUUGAAUCAUUUUUGUUGAAAUAUAUUGAUGAAAUAUCUUCCUGUUACAGAUUAUCUGACCCUUUACAAUACCAAUCAAUUGUUGAUGCUGAGUGGAAUAUUAUAUAUGAUAAGCUUGAUAAAUGUGUAAAAAGUGGUGCCAAAAUUAUAUUAUCUCGCUUGGCAAUCGGUGACCUUGGAACACAGGUAUGUUUUUUCUCAUAAUAUCACCAUUGCUCUCAUGCUUGAGUUCUCCUUAUCAUGUGACGUUUUGCAGUAUUUUGCUGAUCGGGAUAUUUUCUGUGCUGGCCGUGUAAUGGAAGAGGAUUUAAAGCGUGUUUCUGCUGCCACUGGUGGUACCAUUCAGACAACUGUUAAUAACAUCAUUGAAGAGGUGAUUUUAUUCUCUCCUUCUAGACUCUCCCUUCGUUGGUUCUUUUCUUUUCCUUGCAUUGUUAUUUAUAAUUUUAUACUUUGUUUGUUGACCUGCAGUUCUUAUGUAGUUAAUAUAAUUCCAUUGUUAUUUCAUAUUCUCUGUUUAUAUUUAUUUAAUCGUUUAUCAUUUGAAUUUCAUUCAAGGUUCUUGGCAUGUGUGAAGUGUUUGAAGAAAGACAAGUAGGAAAUGAAAGAUUUAACAUUUUUAGUGGAUGUCUUUCUGGUACGACAGCAACCAUUGUCCUCCGUGGUGGAGCAGAUCAGGUUUGUUGAUUCUUAAAUCUUAAGUAGCAGGUAAUCUAUACUCUGUAGUCUAUUCUGACUAUUCUAAUAUAGUAAUAUAUAUUAUAUAUACAUAAGGUUUCCUACUUUCCUUAACUACAUAAUCUGCUAAUCUUUGACAGUUUGACUUAUACGUACAUUAUAUCCAAUAUUUCUCAGUUCAUUGAGGAAGCUGAGCGUAGUUUGCAUGAUGCCAUUAUGAUUGUCAGAAGAGCAAUGAAAAAUUCAUCUGUUGUUCCUGGAGGUGGUGCUAUAGACGUGAGUUUUUAUAAUUUAUUAAAUAUUUUAAAAAUUAAUUUUGUUGAUUCUGUUACUUUCCAACUUUUCUCAUUCAAAAAAUGACUUCAGAUGGAGAUAAGUCGAUAUUUGAGGCAUCACGCACGGACAAUAGCUGGAAAGUCGCAGCUAUUCAUAAAUUCAUAUGCCAAAGCUCUUGAAGUAAAUUCAUAAAUCGAUAUUUUGUGUUCAUAUUAAUAUUUCUUAUUUCUUAAUGAUGCAUUUUAAUAUUUCUAAAGAUCACUGCUUUCAGUUUCUUUUUAUUCAAUCGCAUAAGAUUAAAAAAUCAUAAUUCAUAUCAAUGUUCAAUGCACUAAUGCACAUCUUGAUUUUCUUAUAUUUGUCUGCUCAUCCUCUAUUUAAUUGCAAAUACAAAUCUUGACUAUAAUAUUAUAACUACCUUCAAGAAUUCCUUUUUAUAUCUUGAACCACAUGAAUUCUUUUUCCCCCAUAGUUUCUAUAAUACAGUUUCACACUAGUUUUCUCAUAACGCCACAUUCUAUGGUCUUUCUUGUGAUCAUCAGCUUUGUAAAGAUGACUUUACAGAGGCUGAGUUUUGCUGUGCCAUUUAAAUGUUACAGGUGAUUCCACGACAACUUUGUGAUAAUGCUGGAUUUGAUGCCACUGACGUUCUGAACAAACUUAGACAGAAGCAUGCUUCCAGUUAGUUGUUUCUUUUUCCGAAGUAUUAGCUUAUAUUUUCUUUCACUGCUGCAAUAUGCAACUAGCCAACUACCCAUGUAUUUUUUCAGGUGAUGGGGCAAAUUUUGGAGUUGACGUCAAUACUGGGGGAAUUGCUGAUUCGUUUGCCAAUUUUGUAUGGGAGCCUUCAGUAGUAAAGGUGCAAGAUUUUUCGUUAUUUGAUUUUUUUACAGUAGCUAAUUUAUUUUGAUGGUUGCAUGCUUUUUUUUACAGUAUGUAAGACAAGUAUUUAUAAAUACGGUAAAAUAAGUCUGAUACAGAAUUACAGAUAAUAUAAGAUGAGCAGUUGAAAUAGAUACUCUGUCAACUUAUAAUCGAUGAAUUAAACCCGUAACGUGUGAUCACUGACUACUUUAGGGCACUCAUGGUUGCAGACUUGCUGUUCUGAUGAGUGAGUGUAUUUUUUUGCAGAUUAAUGCUAUUAAUGCUGCUACAGAAGCUGCUUGUCUCAUUCUCAGUGUUGACGAGACUGUUAAAAAUCCCAAGGUACCUUAUUAUGUUUUCAGUGUUGACGAGUCAUGCCCAAUUGCCCAUAUUAUGUUUUCACCUCUAAAUCAUUAUCUGAUUGCAGUAAUUAUCUGUGCCGACUUUUCUGAAAUCUUCAGUGAUUUUAUUAUUAUUUAAAAACAGCUAUUUUAGAAAUAAUAUCUCUAAUUCCUCAUAUGCCCAAAUAUUUUGUUUUCACCUCUAAAUGAGUAACUGAUUGCAGUAAUUAUCAUUGCUGAAAUGUUUUUGUUUUACUACUAAACUGCAGUCAGAGAGUGCUGAGGCAGCUUCUGGUGGAAUGGGUGGCCGUGGUGGAGCUGCCUAUCGAGGUCGUGGUGGUCGUGGCAUGCGAAGGCGGUGAUCGAUCAAAAAAUAAUGUUUAUCAGAUAGUUUGUCAUAAGUUGUAAGUUUUUGUUUAUUUGAAAUUUUAAACUUUAAAAAAAUGAUGCUUACAUGAAAUUAUGAAAAAUUGAAAGCCACUCUUUCAGACAUUUUUGAUAAAAAAAUGAUAAAUAUAACCGACCACUCUUUCAAUUUUGUAAGUUCUAAGUUCUAACUAAAUGAUAAAUAUGAGCAUGAUUUGAUAUUUUGAUAAAAACAUGGUCAUUGAAGUAUCCAACUCUAUGUAUGGGCUAUAACUUCUAUGCAUAAACUUCAACAACGUGUUGCUGAUCCUGGUCAUUUUGGAGUAAUUCUGCUUCUACAGUCAUUUCUUCAAUGGUCUCAAGGAAAGCAUUCAUUGUUUCCAAGCUUUUGUCGUCUGUUACAAAUAAAUUCCAAAAAUAAUUAAUUAUAUCACAUGUUCUUGGAAAUUGACAGUCAUUUUAUGUACGAUUUUAAAUCAAUAAAAUGAGGGUGGACCAUGAAUGUUAGUUGAUUACCAAGAAGCCUGGGAACAGUAUGACCCUUUGGAUGGUGGACCACAAAAGGAUUCACAUAUGAUUCCAACAACUCCACUCCAUGUUGCCUCAAAAAAUCCUUCUCCCCUGUUUUUAAAGCAUUAAAAAUUGUUUACAGAAAUUCAAAUUAUUAUCAAUGUCUACUUGAUUGAAAAAUCACCAUCAUUAAGUAAGACUACACAUUCCUCUUGUGAUGAUGACCAAUUACCAAUAUAUAUCAUUAUUAUAUGAAUUUAUUAUAACACUUUGCCAUCAAAAUAAAAAUCUAAUUUUAUAUCAAUUAUAAAAAAGACAACGAGACUUAGACGACCAUUUCAUGAACUUUAAGAAUCCAAAAGCAAUUGGAGUUUGAAAAUAUUCCAUUUGAAUGUGAAAAUAUUCCAUUUGAAUGUGAAAAUAUUCCAUUUGAAUGUGAAAAUAUUCCAUUAUUUCAAUUUGGGUUGUUCAUUUUCCCACAUUAAAGAAGAAUAAAAAAAAGUAAGUUUUUUUAAAAAACAAGUUUAUUUUCUCUACAACUGUAUGGUCAGCGUCAACAUUCACCAACUAAACCUACCAUAUGUCAUCUGUUAAUCGUUAAGAUGUUAAUUAAUUAUACAUUAUUUCCCAACAACCCCAAAUGACCAAAACCUAGUGCAUGCAUGACAAAGUAAGAUUGAGGUCUUAUGAACUAUUAAGAUUUAUGAGGUUUAGAGUUCAAAUUUUACUUUGUACAUUUACACUUAAAUUUACCCGAUGAUAUAUUAUGUGACUCUAAUAUAUCAUCCGGAGGUUGACAACUCUACAUCUGUAGAGAGAUACCCUCCCGUUAUCAAAAAAUAAAAAAUAAAAAAAUACUAAUUUAAUGCAAUAAUAAAAUAAAGUUAAUAAACAUAUAAUCACGAUUCACGCCCUCUUAAAAAAGAAAUAUUACGAGAAUACUAACCUAAGAAAUGGAGAGAAGGGCAAACAAUCUUUUCAGAAUAAGACUUCUUUACCACAUCCGUUGACUGAAAUUUGGCACCGCCGAUGAUCAUUACAUAUUUAAUUUUGGGAACUUUCGUCAGAGCAUAACCCUAGGAAUCACAUAGAGAAGAUCGAGUACAGAUCAGUAUCCAGCAUACUCUGGUCUCUAUACAUACAUACAUACAUCGACUGAAAUCCUUCUAUAAAUAUAGUACAAAGUAUUACCUUCGCUUGCAUCCCCGGGAGCGCCGCAGACAGAAUCGCCCCCUGCAUCAAGCAAGCAAGUUUCGCAAUCAAUAACCAUUCGUCGAUUAUUUUGACAGAUUUCGCAAUUUUAAAAUCAUAUACUUUACCUGAGAAAAUCCCAUGAGCCCGUCGAACGGUCCAUAUUGGAUCAUCAAAUCCUCGAUGAAUUUCAGACAUUCUUCGAAAUUCACAUACUCCGUGAAAUCCUAAAAAAUAAAUAAAAACGGUAAGGAAAAAAGCAAUCAUCGAUCGUGCUAAAGGAAACGGAAUCGACGGAAAUCAAAUCGACCGACCUUACAGAAUUGGAACCAUUCGUAGUAAGGAGGAGGGAAGAUUCCAUCCACAUCGGACUUUCCAGCGCAAGGAAAAGGGGCAUCAGCGAAGAACAUGUCGAGACGUGAUGUUACAGAUUCCGGCCACUUACUGAUGAUUUGCUCUUUCAUUAUUGCUCCACUCGUACGGAAUCCAUGGAGACAAAGGAAUCUCGGUUUCUUCUUGUUAUUUUCGUCGUCAUCUUUUCCGUUCCGAUACACAGAAGUUGCAGUGAUGUUUUGACUCAUCUUCAUCGCACUCCCCAUCGUCAACGACGAAUCUAUUUGAAAUGACCAAAUAUACAAAUAAUACGAUGAUUCUGUUAGAAUCUAUUUAUAGCCGAAGCCCGAAGGCAGUUCUGGUGUCUCGCAUGUCUCGUUUUUCUUAUACUUAUAAUAACCGCGUGGCCUUCAUUCCUCUUAUCCUACCUCCACAGUUCCCACCUUUUGCACGUGCUAUUAAGUGUUUAAUUGUUGACUUUUGGAAAAAGAUUGACUGAUUUGGGUAUUUUGAUGGAAAAAAAACGAUUUUUUUAAUAUAUAUAUAUAUAUAUAUAGAGUAAUUAUAGGUGUGCCGAAGUUAAAAUAUGACAAAUUAAUCCUGUGUUAGUGUCUUUUGCAGUAUAUUAUUUUAAUUUUACGUACAUGUGUUAAUAUCUGAUGAAGUAUAUUAUUUUAACUAUUAGAAUAAAUAUUAAUGGACACGAUUUGAUAGCACAUGACGACACAUUCAAGGUACGGUGCAUCUGAAGCGCGCUCUAUAUAUAUUAGGGGUGCAACAAGGAUGUGUUUGACAAAAUCCGAUCCCAUUCUAUUUGAAGAUCUGUCGUAACGUGAUCAGUUGCGUCGGAGUCCGAGAACCAUAAGACAUUGGUCUGAGCUUGAGUCAUAACACGUUUUACAUAACUUGCUAAGCGAACUUUACUUUCAACCGGAGUAGGAUAGAGCUCCUCAUUAUGUCAUUUACGACAAGACAAUGCCUCAUGACCUUUCUUUUUACAUAUUUGACAGAUAAGUAAUUCUCGUCUUUCCGAGAAGUUUGCACAAAAUUAGCAGAUGCAACUGAAUUUUGGCAUUACGAUUUUUUUGAUUCAGAAAGAGAUUUCACAUGUUGGGAAUGGUCAUAGAAUUGAUCUGCGAUGAAAUGACCGCAGCAACUAUGUACUCGAAAUUAGAAUCCAAUCCGUCGAGAACAUAUAGAAUAAUUAAAAUCAGCAUCAGAAAACGCAACUCCGGUAAAUCAGAGAGGGACGACCAGAUUUGCCACUCUUGCUAGAUAAUCGCUGAUAUUAUCACCGUCUUUUUUCAACGUCCGCAGCUUCUGCCAAAUCUGCAGAAUCCACGCACCAGCGGACGAGGAGAAAAUUUCCAACAACGUCGCUCAUACAUUUGCAGAAGUCUCAUACAUAGCCACUUGUAAACUUAAUGACGAAAAGAUUUAGUCAAGUAACAUAUAAUCUUGCUGGAUCAUCAAAUAUGUCGUGAGCUACAGAUUAAGAACCUUCAACAUAAUAAAGUAGACAGUAUCCACGCAACAUCGAUUUGAUGUAUGUCUGCCAAACAAAGAAAUUGUCCCUGUUGAGUUUCUCAGAGUUGAGAUUCUUCAACUUUAGGACCUUGGAUUGUACGCUGAGGAGUCCGCGAAGUCUUCCGGAGUCGACAGUAUUGAAUUGUCGGGAUUCCCUCUAGUAGAUGGUUUCUCUAUGACUGAGAUCGAUAGGAAAAUGAUAAAGGUGGAACCCGAUCAGUGCUCGGACGACGUUUCGAACAAGCGUUGGGCUAAAAACUCCGUCGAAAAUCUCUCGGACACUUCAGUCACGUACUCAGGCUCUUUUUAACAAAGAUUCUUUCUCACUCCAAACAACCUAACCUCUAAUGAGUGCUCUAACCGCCUCACCGUCCAGAUCUGGCCCGGGUCGACUCCCUUAAGGUCGACUUUUAGUCCUAAGAGGUCGGCUUGACAAAAGUCGCCUUGUAGAAUCGACUGGGGUCUCCCAUGCCACCCAUUUCGGGUUAUUUCAAUCUGGUGUCGUGGUCAAGUCCGGAAUACUGUAUCACUAGAAAACAAACCAAAUUACCAAGAUGAGAAGAAGAAGAAAAAUAACAUUAUUUUUGUAGGUAUAAAUAAAUACAUUAUUUUUGUAAAGACAAUUUUGAUAACACAUGCGACCCAUUUAAUAUACCACGCACUUAAUAUAAAAUAUCUAUAUAUAAUAAAUCUAAUUUUUUUGAAAGAUAAAUGAUUACAAUAAUUAUUAAAAUUUCUAAAAAUCAAAUACUCAAAUCACAUUGUAAUCUUACACGAUUGAUUAAAAAUGUAUGGUCGAGAUUUAAUAUCAUUAUAUUAUGAGAGAGGCGGCAGAAUUUUUGAAUAGAACACAGUGGUUGUUGAGUUGGCCUAACGUGCUGUCGCACUUCCCCCGUGGUAUUGGAGUUUGCGACGUGCACAGCGGACUCGGAAAACCAAAGAAAUAAUAAAUAGAUUAUAAAUUCAAUUAUACCGGAAUUAUCCUUCGAGUUUUCAUCUAAUUACCCAUCGACCUCGUACCGGCCAUUUUUUUUAUCACCACCACUUCCACUCCAACAAGCUCACCAGUAAAAAAAAAAAAACGCAGUGCCAUCUGUGAUGAUAUCUGCAUUCUAGGGUUGGGGUUUCGAUCCAUCUCUGUACGAUGGGGAUCUGCUAUGGGAAGCCGACUUCGACUGGCAACGACGCUCGUUUCAGCUCCGGCGAGUCAAUGCCGGAGUCCCGACAUUCGGCAAGUUGUAAUCCGAGUCCGAGAUCCGACGAGGUGGCAACGGAGCUCCAACAGAAGACUUCUAAAAGUCGGAAUCCGUCUCCUGGGAGGAAGAAGCCGAGUAAUCUGACUAGUACUGGUAGCGAAGUAGCGAUGGAAUCCCAGACGGAUUCGAAAAUGUGGAAUCCAUCUCCUUCUAGAAAGAAUGCCCCGUCUCCGAGGAGGAAUGAGAAUGUCGUCGGAGACGGGGAGGAAAAGGAGGAGAAAGAGAAGGAGAAAGGGAGUUCGAAGCCAUGGACUUCACCUUUCUUCCCGUUCUACACUCCCAGUCCAGGUCACGGUCUUUUCACUUCAAAGAAGUCUCCGUCGAGAGGAUCCCACUCGAACACAUCUACGCCGAAGAGGUUCUUUAGGAAGCCGUUCCCACCGCCGUCACCGGCAAAGCACAUUAGGGCUGUGCUUGCGAGGAGACAAAGGUCUGUGAAGCCGAAAGAUGGCGAAAAAGACGGUGACGUGGAGGUAGUUGGUACCAAACUUGAUAAGAAUUUCGGAUUUUUGAAAGGGUUUGAGAGCAAAUUCGAGAUUUGGGAGGAAGUUGGGAGAGGUCAUUUUGGGUAUACUUGUUCUGCUGUGUUUAAGAAGGGAGAUCGUAAAGGCCAGCAAGUUGCUGUCAAAGUCAUUCCCAAAUCUAAGGUCAAGCAAAAAUCGUCAUUCAUCAUUCAUCAUCUCUCCACGACAUUAACAACAAACAAAAUAAUCAUGCAACCUUCUUGUUUUCUUUUGGGUUUUGCAGAUGACAACGUCAAUUGCUAUAGAGGAUGUGAGAAGGGAGGUGAAGAUUUUGAAAUCCCUCACAGGACACAGUAAUCUAGUCCAGCUUUAUGAUGCUCACGAAGACAUUGAUAAUGUGUAUAUAAUAAUGGAGUAUGCUUGUUUUCUAUCAUAACUUCUUCUUUUUGUUUCUAGUAAGUUAUUCUUAUCAAUUAACACUUACCAUUGAAUUUCUCUUAGGUUGUGCGAGGGAGGAGAGCUUCUGGAUAGAAUACUUUCAAGGUAAUUUGGUUUCUGAGUCACUAGACAGACAUUUGUUGCUCAUUAUAACUCUUAUUUCUUGUUUAGAGGUGGAAGAUAUUCGGAAGACGAUGCCAAAGCUGUUAUGGCACAGAUAUUAAGUGUUGUUGCUUUUUGUCAUCUACAAGGUGUGGUUCACCGUGACCUUAAACCAGAGGUAGGAUUCUUUUACUUCUUUAAUGGAAAAAUGUAAUUAUUGUGGGCUAUUUUCAACUUCAUGUUGGGAUAUCCAUGCGAUGAUCAAAAUUGUUGUUGUUCCAUUUCUUGAUCAGAAUUUUCUUUUUACAUCCAAAGAUGAAAAUUCCAAGCUCAAGGUUAUAGAUUUUGGUCUUUCAGACUUUGUCAAGCCAGGUUGGUUGAACACUUUUUAAUGACAACGCUUGCUUAUUGGGUAACUUAGGCUGAGUUGGUUACUAUAUUUUUCGCAGAUGAAAGACUUAACGACAUAGUCGGAAGUGCAUAUUAUGUGGCGCCAGAAGUUUUGUACAGAUCGUACAGUACAGAGGCAGAUGUAUGGAGCAUUGGAGUGAUUGCAUAUAUUCUUCUAUGUGGAAGUCGGCCAUUUUGGGCUCGAACUGAAUCUGGAAUAUUCAAAGCUGUAUUGAGAGCUGAUCCAAGCUUUGAUGAACCACCAUGGCCUUCUUUAUCCUCACAUGCAAAGGAUUUUGUUAAACGUUUGUUGAGUAAAGAUCCACGUAGGAGAAUGUCUGCUUCUCAGGCUUUGAGUAAGAUCAUUUAGUUGCCAUUAUUAUGGGUUUGUUUCUGGUGCUCAUUAAUCAUCUUAUGCAGGCCAUCCUUGGAUAAGGAAUCAUAAUGAUACAAAGAGGCCUCUUGAUGUUCUUAUAUUCAAGCUUAUGAAGGCUUACCUACAAUAUUCAUCUUUACGUAAAUCCGCACUAAGGGUGAGUAUUCAAUGCUAAAUUUAAAUCAAAUCAAAUCAAAUGUUCAAUGUUUCUUGUGCUUUUUGCUUCUUAUAAAAUCUACUGUUGAUGUGUGUUUAACAGGCACUUUCAAAAACAUUGACUCUGGAUGAGCUUUUUUAUUUAAAAGAGCAGUUUGCUCUUCUGGAACCAAACAUUUAUGGCUACAUUACUCUUGAAACCAUUAAACAGGUUGGUUAGAUUUCUGAAAUUGACUAUUUCCUUAGGGUUGACUGAUAUUUCUUUCUCCAUGUAUCUUGCAUGACAGGCUAUGACAAAAAAUGCAAUAGAUGCAAUGAGAGAUUCCCGUGUCAAUGAUCUUCUUAUAUCGGUAUUUUUCACUGCGACUGAUUCUAGAGUUCAAUGUAACUGAUAUUCUGAAGUUCAUCUGAGUGCUGAGUAUUGUUUUUGUAUUUUUUUUUUGCCUUUUGAUCUCUCAGCUAAGUGCUCUUCAAUAUAGAAAGAUGGAUUUUCAUGAAUUCUGUGCAGCAACAUCAAAUGUGCAUCAGCUUGAAGGUGUUGAAAGAUGGGAGCAACAUGCUCGAUACGCUUAUGAACUUUUUGAGAAGGAUGGUAAUAGAGCCAUUGUUAUUGAUGAGCUUGCUUCGGUAUGCCAUCCAUUAUUUUCUAUGUUUUUCUUUCAAUCUUUUUUCAAAUCAAUACUUUAGAUUUUUCUCGAAAUAUAAAAUUAAGUAGCAUCUGAUCAAUACUGUCUUUCUUUCAGGAACUUGGACUCAGCCCAGGCGUGCCAAUCCACACUGUCCUCCAUGACUGGAUCAGGCACACUGAUGGAAAACUAAGCUUCCUAGGAUUCGUCAAACUAUUACAUGGUGUUUCCAGCCGUACCCAUGUCAAAGCACAGUAAUCGAUCUGUUUCAGAAGUCAGAACCCAUGUCAAACUACUAACAUCCAUUAUUUUCUUCUUCUGAGCACUGAAGAAGAUGAAGAAGAACUCUGCCACAAAAAGAUCCAGGGUUCCAAAAAUUGUGUACUGACAUAUUUAUUUGUCGUUGCAAAAUUUAGAUGUUGAAAAAAUAUAGUUGUCUAUUGUCAGAGCCCAGACGCUCAGAGCCACCCCACUAACUACUAACUUACCGUUAAAUAAGAUAGACAGCAAAAUCUCCAGUAACAUCAAAAUAUAAACAAAACUGACAUCAAUCAAUACAUGAUCAAAUCUCUAGUUUCAAGUCUAAAGUACACACCAGAUGUCUGAUUUAUUGAACUUCCAGUUUUCAUUACAAGUUUUUAAUUAUCUUGAAGACCCAAAGGGUUUUGCAAUAUUACAUACAUAAUUCAUAAACAAGGAGAAUUUAAUAAGUAACUAUCUGGAUACCAAAGGUUUUUUGAGCAAAGUGGACCAUAUUUUGGACCUCAGCCUCGCUGAUAUAUCCAUCACCAUCGUCGUCUGCUUUUUUGAUGGCACGUCUGCUUUUCCAGCCGUUAAACCACCGACCGCCGGAGCGAUGGACCAAAUUUUGAAGCUCAUCUUUACUUAUACGUCCAUCGCCGUUUUUAUCGAAUUUCAUCAGCCACUUUCUGAACUCAUCCUCUGUCAUGAUCGUGGUGGACGAUCCUUUAGAAAAUGUGUGUCGUCUCACCUUCGAAGGCCCCUUCAACGCCAUUUUAGAAGAAGAUGAUGAUAAUUUAGAAGAAGAAGAAAGGGUUGGUUAUUUAAUAAGUUUUCAAGUUGUUUUAAUCAGUGGAGAGUUGUCUCAGUCAAAGUAUUCUAGAUUAUCUUAGCCUCACUGAAAUUAUUGAGGCUCCAUUUGAGAAUCUUGGUCGGAAUCUUGAGUAAAAUGUUGGUCGCACCAAGAAAAGCAUCAAUCCGGUCCCGCCUUCGCGUUCACGCUAAGUUAACUAGAAUCUAAAUCAAUAAUCUGAUUUAAGAUAAGUGGGCAUCUGAUUCCCGACCUAAACCGUUUUAGGUAAGAUAUUAUAAAUAAAAUCGAUAAUUUUCAGGUGUGUCGUACACGUCAGUGAGUCAAAAUACGUCGUGUGCAUUCUGUCUUUUAAUUUUUAAUUCAACAACUAAAUAAUGUCCUGCACAAGACAAUAACACAUGUAUGAUAAAAAAAAUGUACAACAAAAGACACUAAUUCACGUACGACGAUAUGUCGAUCUAAUGGUCAGAAUUUUUUGACACAUUUUGACGCAUUGCAAUUCGACGCACGAAACCUCCCCUAAAUUAAAUAUUUGUAAUCUAACUCUUCAUUAUAUAUUAGACAAUGUUAUUUAUUUGAAAUAAAAUAUAUCAGACAAUGUAAAUUGACCAUGGAUAUUUGAAUUGUAUGAUUUAAAUUUAAUGUUAUCAUUGAUUUGAAUUGUAUGAUUUAAAUUUAAUGUUAUCAUUGAUUUGAAUUUUAGGAAAUAUCCAAAAAAAAAAAAUCAGAACAUAAUUCUUUUUUUCUACCAGUGUAACUGUGUAAGGAAUAUUUAAUAAUUAAUAGGGGCAAGUCUGCUAAAUUCACGUGAUAUAGGGACGUUCAGGCACAUUUUCUUCUUUUUCGAAUUUUUUCAUAGUCCCAUACCGAUGAAAUGUUAAAAAAAAGUAAGAUAUAUAUAAGACCCAUUUUGUAAAACAUACACGACCUUACUUGAACAGGAUCUGUUCUAUAGGAUCGUACUACUAUUGUCUUUAGUAAUAAAGAGACUAGUCAACAAGUCUGGUGGAUGAUAAAUAACCUCAUGAGCAGAGCGUGAUUAACGGAUUUGAUGAUUUAUCAUUUAAUCUGUAGAUGAUCGUUCUCAGAUCGGUAUCACCUUUAUGAGAUGUUUGUGAGGUUUGCUGACAGACUAAUUUUUUUCCUUUAUUACUAUUUUUUUAGAGCAAUUUUAAAGUACUCCACCAAUUUACAUCAUUAAAUCUACCGA
rnacentral:lncRNA from 1 species